AUUAAACUACGUAGGUAACUUAAUAAAUAUUAGAUUACUAUAACAUCAAUGUUUAUUUUGACAGAGCUGCUGCAAUACAAUACAACUAGCAAAAUAGAAGAAACAGAACUCUAUCUCUAGCUUCAACAACCUGAAAUCACUACAACAACAAUAAAUGUUCUCUCUGGCAUCACUCUCUUAGGCCAUGAUACAUUUAAUUGCUCUCAAUCAUGAAAGUUCUCACAUGACAAGCUUUGCACUUGAAAUAAACAAGUAGAACAAGGAAAAUUUUCAAGUUCUCAUGUUUGAGCAAAAGCAAAGCAACUAAACUAUGCUAACCACUAAUCUGCAAAUCCAGCCAGCAAUGCUCACUGUACAAAGUGCCUGCAUGAGAAAGAGGGUUGGGGGGAGGGGAGGGGAGGGGAGAGAGGGAGACGAAAGAAUGUGGAGUGAAAAAUCUAACUAAAAGGAAAGAAGCUGAUAUUCAGGAGUGUAUAAUAUAAGCAGACAGGGCCUGCAAAGUGAAAACAGAAAAAUAUAUAUAUGAAGUGAAAAAUCUAACUAUGGGAAAGGAGUCAUAUUGAAGAGCAUAUAAAAAAUAAUGCAGAUAUGACAAUGUCAAUUUUCUAAAAUAGUAAGGCAUUUUUACAAACCACAACUUAAAAUACUGGAUACAAUCAAGUAAAUUUUGCCAGUAUCUACACUAGCUAGUAGCUACAAAGACACAUCCAACCUAGAAGUUGAUAAUAAAACAUCUAUGGUGUGAGAUAUCCAUGUUUAUUUUAUCUUCCAACCCUAUGUGAGAAUCAGUAGCAAGAAAAAUUUUCGCAAGUAUGAUUUUUCAAAAUCCCAACCCCUCAUUUCAAAACCUAGAAGUUGAUUC
rnacentral:misc_RNA from 1 species